rnacentral:lncRNA from 1 species
GAAUAUCUGUUAGCAUUUCUGCAUGUUUUCCAACACACAACCGGUUACGAUAGUUAACGUUUUACACUUAUACAGGUACAUGUACACACAGAUACAUGCAUUCACGAGUGAUUCUCAUUAAACUCCAAUGUUCAAAUAUUCAUAUAUUUUGAGCCACUCGAGAUUUGAGAGAUCACUACCCUCUUUAAGACUGUACAUUGCUUCACAGGGUGGGUAUAAAUCUGUGAGAAAAUAUACACGAAAUUGUUAAAAAAAUACACAGUUAACAGAUAUUUUUUUUUUUAAAUUAAAAGGUACAUUUCUUCAAAUAAUGGGUAUUUAUCCGAGAGGAGAGAAACUGACUUGUACUUACGCCUCAUGUGUUAAGACACACUAUUGCUUAUUAUGCUAGGUCAGAUUCUAAGAAUUUCUAUAUGCUGUAAUGCCAGUGGUUUAUUGCGAGUGAUCUUAGAUUUGUUCCAAAAUCCUUUAACUCUGUGGUGUUCUUUAUUAGUGUUGGAAGAUGAUUGUACAAUUUUAUCCCCAUAUAUUUAACACCUUUGUUGUGGAGUAGACUGGCCAAUCAACAGUACUGAGAUUUUUGAUCUCGUGUCAUGAUGGAUUUUGGGUUCUAGAAGAGCAACCGUUGUACAUUAUUCAAGAAUAUUUCUCUGCUGAUUGAACAGUGUCUGCCUCAGCUGUAGUUCAGCAUGUUUGGUGCAAGUAGCCAGCAAUGGCACCACUAAAGAGGCAGUCACAUGGGUGAACAUCCGAGAAGCAGAAAGCAUUCGGAAGUCAGGGAGAUAAAAGAAGAUUCCAAAAAUCUGCAUCGAUGAUUCUUUAUGGACAAAAUCCCUCCAAACAAAAUUGAGGUAAGUCAUGUAAUAAUAAUGCCCUUAGGAAAUUUGGACGUCAAUUUAAAAUCCUGUUGACAAAUAAAUUUCAAUGACAAAUAUCUCUCCAGUCAGUCACAAACAAGGUUUCAGACAUUGAGGUUUUGCUAAACACUAAACUGCAUUUUGUCAAUGUUCUGUGUUUCUCGGAAAACUGGUUAAAGCCAAAUCAGGUUGCUUCAUUUACAAUACCAGGCUACACACUUGCAAAUAACAUCUGUAGAAGAAAACACAAAAGUGGAGAUACUGUUAUUUUAUGUAAAAGUGGGUUGAAAUUGAAAGCUAUUGAUAGUUUUAAGUGCCUAAGUACAGAAAUAGAGUUUGAAGCAACACUUGUAGAAAUCAGUGGUGCAAAUACCGUUGUCGUGUGUAUUUGUCGCUCUCCAAAUGGGAACUUUGAGGCAUUUAGCAAUAAACGAGAAACAUUACUAAUUAGGAUACAUGUAGGCAAGAAAUCAAUAGUUCUGUGUGGGGAUUUCAACACCUGACUUUCUUGAAACAAGCAGGAGAAAUGGACUGUUGCUCAACCUAACAGAUACUUUCAGUUUAAAACAAACAAUUACAACCCCAACAAGAAUUACAAAAACUUCUGCCACUACUGUGGACCAAAUAUUUGUUAACACACCCUAUACAAAAAAUGUGUAAAUACAAAUUUUAAUGAUCAUGAAGCUCAAGUGGUAACCUUCUCAGACUGUUUACUACCCAUACAAAACCAUAAAAGGACUGUGACUGCAUGAAGUUUCUACAGCAAAGCAUAGACACAUUCAAUCACUAGUUAUCAAGAGAAAGCUGAGAAGAAGUUUCUCAGUUACAUGACACCAACAAAUAGUUUAAGUUCUCUGACAUCUCCAAUUAUUAUUUUGAAACACUAUGUCCGCUCAUAAUAUAGGCAUUAAGGAACACAAAUCUAAAAGCAAAGUCAUAUAUAACAAGAGCCAUAAAAGUCUCACACGACACAAAAAGAAAAUUGCUCAGUUACAGAAAAAAACACAACAGAUCCCCUCUCCUUAACAGUUACAUCAUAAAAUAUAUUCAGGUGUACAGAAAAGUCGUAUGUCAGGCAAAAAUGAUGGCCAAUGAUCAGUUUAUGGAAAAUAAAAGCAAAGCAAUCUGGAAAGUAAUAUAGCAGGAAGGAAAUAGUAAAAGGGAAAAUAUGACACUGAACUGUGACAACAAGAGAAUUAGUGGUCCGCAGCAGAUUGUAAAUUUCUUCAGGCAGUACUGUGAAGACAAUACAAAAAAUCUAUGCCAAAGUGAUCCCUAUUCAUAAAAAAAGUGACAAAGCAAAUUUGGAAAACUAUAGACCAAUGUCAUUAUUAUCAAUUUUUGCCAAAGAAUCAUUGAAAGAAUCAUGUAUAACAGCUGUAUGGAAUUUCUGGAUAAGAACAAAAUCCUUGCUGAUGCCCAACACGGUUUUUGGAAAAAUAAAUCUACGACCAAAGCCAUAUAUAAUUUUUGCAAAAUGCUGUAGAAGCACUGGAUAAUAAAGAAAAUGCUGCUGAUAUUUUCUUAGAUCUAAGCAAAACUUUUGACGUUUUGGACCACAGAAUCCUGCUGGUAGAACUCCAAAAGUAUGGCAUUAGAGGCACCACAUUAAAAUAGUUCUUCUCCUACCUGACAAAUCUGAAACAAAAAGUAGUAAUAGCUUAUGAACUAAAUUAUAGCAUUAGAACAUAUUUUUCAGAUGCAGGAUCCAUUCUCAUGCCUAUUUCUUCCCUUCUACAUAUAAAUGACCUAGAUGUAAGCAUACAGUUGCAACUAAAUAUUUUGUUUGCACGUGACACUGGCAUCCUUCUUACAGGGGAAACACAAACACAGCUACAAGAAAACAUAAAUGGAGCUACAGACCAGCUAAAUGACUGGUUUGGAGGAAAUAAACUAAUAAUAAACAUUUCCAAAAUAACUGCGCUUAAUUUCUGUUUGAAAGGGGAAGCCUGCAACACUUCUGUGACAAUAAAUGGCAGUAGAAUUGCAUCCUCACUGGAAACAAAAUUUUUAGGCUUCAAAAUGAUUUUAAAUGGCUCACACAUAAAACAAAAACAAAUACAACACUGAAAAAAGUACACUACAGUCCAUGCUUACUUGCACACAAAGCAAGCUUCCACACUGUUAGAAUUGCAUACUUUGCCCAGUUCCACAGUAUCCUACGAUAUGGAAUUAUAUUCUGGGAUAACACAGCUGCUAGCUCUGUAAUCUACCUGACCCAAAAAAGAGCUAUAAGAGCAAUGCACCAUGCAAAACAGACUGACUCAUGUAGGGCCCGUCUGUCAGAAGUCUUCCAUACUCCCUCUCUCCUGUCUUUUUGUUCUAGAAAAUUGUAAAUAUGCGAGGAAAAAUAUCAAAGAGAUAAAUAAAAUCUGUAAAGUACAUGAACAUAAUACCAGGCAAAAAGACAAACUCUGUGUUCAGUCAGUAAUGACAACAGCCUUUAAAACCUUUAAUAAAAAUAGCCAAUACAAAUGUACAAUAGUCUGCCACAUAAAAUUAAAGUUAUUUCUUCAUUUUCUCUGUUUCACAAUUCCCUAAGGGCAUUCUUAUUUGAUCACUGCUUCUAUUCAGUGGCAGAAUUCUUAAACCAUGGGAAGUACAAUAGACAUGAAGCAAGAAUAUGCAAAAACUACUACAGCUGCUAAAGCAAGGUCAAAUAUAAUGUAUUUAUUGUACCAUUAAAAUAAAUUUUGAAGUUAUAUGUAUCCCGUCUGUGUGUUUUAGUGUCAUAUUUUACAUUGCAAUAUAGUAUUCAUUUUAUUGUGCUAAUAUUACUGAAAGAUGCUAUCUGUCCAGGCAUGGCAGGUGAAUGACAUAGAAUUGGUAAUAAAGGGCAACCAACUUACAGCAUAUUAAAGAAAUGAACAUGUAACGGAUUAAUGUGUCACAGAACUGACAUGAAAGUUUAUGGCGACUCAUUUGAACGACCAGGUACAGCCUCUCCACUAAUUUUUGUAAAAAAUAUUAACAAUCACAAUGCACGUGGAUCAGCACUAUCCAGAACAGCUACUUAUUGUUAUGGUGCACAAUAUUAUUACAUAGCAAAAGUUGGCCAUGAGUGUAAACGUUCAGGAUUGGCACAAAGUCACACAAGUUCCACUGUUCGCAGAGGUGCACCGUAAAAGUGUGCCACCAGUUACUAUGUAGUUCAUUUAUUUUGUAAUCGCUCUAUUAAGAAACUUUUUGUUGAUAUUGUCACUUACUAAAAUAUGCAGUUUAUUUAUUGUUCAUUAUUUUCUUAUGCGUAAUGACAUUUGCCCAAGUUUGUAUUAUUACAAUUAUUCUUAUUAUUGUGUCAACUUUGAUGACGCCAGUUGCAUGUAAAUUUGCUCAAAGAUGAAAUAAAACAUUUGUAUUUUG